AAUCCAUAAUGUGAGCAAUAUCGAAGCAAGUCCAUGUACCCCUCGCAGGCAUCAUACAUACUCUCGUCAUCGAACUACAUAAAAGAAGAUAUUUCAUUUCUCAAUUU
rfam:Ricinus communis cultivar Hale ctg_1100012362384, whole genome shotgun sequence.